GGCAGACAGGGAGACGGUCGCUGGCUCGGUUGGUCGUCCCCCGUUUUUUUUUUUUUUUUUUCCCCAGACUAGACGGUACGCAUGAACUGACGUGAAUGCCGAGCAGCAGCAGCGCCGGUCCGGCUGGUAACGCGCCGCCUCCGGCCGGAGUCAAUGGGACCGCACGUCGGCCGCGCGUCGGAAACAUGGAGAGAUUUUUCCUGCUCGUCCUCGGCUGUCUCGGCGUCCCUCGAGUCGCAGCGGAUAGCCUGUCGCCUCCUGUCAAUGUGACGAUCAGGGAGGUGAAGGCCAACUCCGCCGUGGUGUCAUGGGACACCCCCGAGGGAGACCCCGUCAUCGGCUUUGCCAUCACGCAGCAGAAGAAGGACGUGCGCAUGCUCCGGUUCAUCCAGGAAGUCAACACGACCACACGCUCCUGUGCACUAUGGGACCUGGAGGAAGAGACAGACUACAUCGUGCACGUCCAGUCCAUCAGCAUGUCGGGGACGAGUCCGCUGAGCGAACCGCUGCGCUUCCGAACGCCCAAGGAGGCCGAGACUCAGGCCUCUAAGAGCAAAGACGAAGUGACCAUGGAGGAAGUGGGUCAGACCACCCAGCUGAGGGCAGGGGAGCUCAUCAUCAUCGUGGUGGUUCUGAUCAUGUGGGCAGGUGUGAUCGCUCUCUUCUGUCGUCAGUACGACAUAAUCAAAGACAACGAGCCCAACAACAACAAGGACAAAGCCAAAAACUCCUCAGAGUGCAGCACUCCUGAGCACCCGACGGGGGGGCUGUUGCGCAGUAAGGUAUAACCCACUCCCCCGCUCCUCCUCCUCCUCCUCCUCCUCCUCCUCCUCCUCCUCCUCUUCUCCCAGGGUGCCUCCCCCCCCCUCGGCGGCGUCGGGCAGUUCCCCAAGAACAACAACAACAACAACAGGAUGCCAUCCGUCAACAUCAUCGAGGUGUGACUGCCAGGACGCCUUUUCCUUCUCCAAAAAAAGACUUUGUGUUCUCACAAACAAGCGGGCCCCCUUUGAAGCCCACCUGCUUGUCGGGGGUGAUGCCGGGACUCUGGCCGCUCCUCCCCGAGGCAAACGCCUGUUCUCCUUUGGCACCGGGCCGGGCGCCGAUAAAGCGCUGCCGCAGGGACCCCGGCGGUCAAACGCCGCCCGGCCUGACUGAGCAGAGUCGGAGGCGGGGGGACUGCGGCGGACGCUGCGUUGUUCAGUGACCACUGUACCGUGGGGGCAGCGGGGAUUGGGGCCAAAUGGCUCGGACGGCGGAGAGACUGCAGAUAAAACAACCCCAGGGACCAACACAGAUAAACAGAGCCAGAAACCUUUUCACUCGCUCCCUCCCGCUCCAUGUCGUCUUUCUUCUCGGCGCGUUAUCAGCAUCCAUAAAAUCCGGACCUUUCC